CCCCCCCCCCCAAUCUCAUUCUCCUCCCUCUUCUUCCGUUUUUCCUUCUUCCACUCCUCCUGUAUUUAUUUCCUCCUCUCCCUCUCCUCCUCUUUUAUCGUACACCUCAUUCUUCCCUAUUGUUUCUCUUCAUCUCUUUCUUCCUCAUUAUCAUUAUCAUCAUUAGUGUAUUGCACCUAAAGUCUCGCUAUGCACUGAAUUGCGAACCAACUUCACGAAAACUGUACUUGCAAACCUCUGCAACAUGGUGCAAUGAUCACGUGAUGCAGAGGAGUCUCCAGUAGGCCUAAGGAAAUCAGGCCUAGUCGUGGACUCCGCUCUGGACGAAACUGUCACUUGAACCACGGUCACGUCCGGGAAGAACCAGAGCCUGCGAACCCCCGGCAGGAGAGGUGUACCGCAGGAGGUGGAGAGAGGGUUUAGGGGAUUCCCCGCAGCGCCAGGAGAACCGGUUCUGAGAAACACGAUCCUGUGGACAACCCGAACCGAUUUGUGGAACCAAGGCUUGUAGACCAAACGGAACCGAUUCGUAGAAAUAGGGUUUUUAUAUCCAUCACAAUCGAUUUUUUGGAACCAGGAACUGUGGUCCAACCAGAACCGAUUUGUGGAACAAAGGAUUAUGGACCAACCAGAUCUGAUUCUGUGGAACCAGGGUUUGCAUGUCAACCAGAACCGACUUACUGGCUCAGAUUUAUAAGGCGAAGAGAACCGAUUUCAAGAAACCAGGCGCCCAAAUACUCCACUUUAUACCAAGGGAACCAUUCUUGCUGAACCGCUAUUUAUGGAACUAGGCUUGAGAAAACAGGCGAGAACCAAAAUGAAAACCGAUUUUCUAGAAUCUUCUGAACCACUCUGGACCCCCUACCCCCCUACCACCCUACACUCCCUUAUUCCCCCCCCCCCCUCAAAAAAGGAAGAAAUAAGUGUCCUGUAGCUUGAAAAAUGAAUAUAUAAAUUUAAAAAUAAAUAAUUACAAAGUGCAGUUCAAAUGUGAUUGCUCCUAGAACUUGGAUUAUAAAACUGCAAAGGGUAAUAUGAUAAAAAGUUGAAAUACAAUAAACAAGAAAAUAUACAAAAAAAGAAAAAAGAAAAUACCCACAUUUUAUGCAAAGGGCGACUCAUUUUGCUUUUGACAUGUGCCUCACCUAUUUAAUCAAAUAUAUAUUUCCAUAUAUAUAUUCUCUAUGUAAUUAGAUGUAAAAUAUUUGUAAGAUAUCUAACUCAAUUAUUUAUUUUUACAGAUUAAAUUUAAAGUAUUUCUAAUGAUAAUCCCUAUAGAUUUAAUAUUUACAUAAUUGUAAAUAUAAUCUUAGAUAAGAAAGAAAUCAUCCUGCAAAGCCGUAUAAAAAGAGACAAAAAGAAAAGAA